rnacentral:rRNA from 1 species
GACGAACGCUGGCGGCGUGCUUAACACAUGCAAGUCGAACGGUGAAGCGCCUUCCUUUUUGGUGGGUGUGGAUGAGUGGCGAACUGGUGAGUAACACGUGAGUAACCUGCCCCCUUCUUCUGGAUAACCGCAUGAAAGUGUGGCUAAUACGGGAUAUUCUGGGUCUGUCGCAUGAUGGGUCUGGGAAAGAUAUGGUUUCGGUGGGGGAUGGGCUCGCGGCCUAUCAGCUUGUUGGUGGGGUGAUGGCCUACCAAGGCGGUGACGGGUAGCCGGCCUGAGAGGGUGGACGGUCACACUGGGACUGAGACACGGCCCAGACUCCUACGGGAGGCAGCAGUGGGGAAUAUUGCACAAUGGGCGCAAGCCUGAUGCAGCGACGCCGCGUGAGGGAUGGAGGCCUUCGGGUUGUGAACCUCUUUCGCCAGUGAAGCAGGCCUGCCUCGUUUGUGGGUGGGUUGACGGUAGCUGGAUAAGAAGCGCCGGCUAACUACGUG